GGCAACCCUUUCGGGUCCCCUUCCACACUGUGGUAGCUUUGUUCUUUCGCUCUUUGCAAUAAAUCGUGCUACUGCUCACUCUUUGGGUCCACACUGCUUUCAUGAGCUGUAACACUCACCGCGAAAGUCUGCAGCUUCGCUCCCGAAGCCAGCGAGACCACGAUACCACCAGGAAGAACGAACAACUCCAGAUGCGCCACCUUAAGAGCUGUAACACUCACCGCGAAGGCCUGCAGCUUCACUUCUGAGCCAGCGAGACGACGAACCCACCAGAAGGAAGAAACUCCGAACACAUCCGAACAUCAGAAGGAACAAACUCCAGACGCGCCACCUUAAGAGCUGUAACACUCAACGCGAGGGUCUGCGGCUUCAUUCUUGAAGUCAGUGAGACCAGGAACCCACCAAUUCCGGACACAGUGACGGGUGCCUGUAAUCCCAUCUACUUGGGAGGCUGAGACAGGAGAAUUGCUUGAACCUGGGAGGCAGAGGUUGCAGCGAGCUGAGAUCGUGCCAUUGCACUCCAGCUUGGGUGACAGAGCGAGACUCCAUCUCAAAAAAAAAAAAAAAAAAGAAAGAAAAGAAAAGAGAAUUAGCCGUGGUCAAUGUGUUUACAACACAGACAUCCCCAGAUGUUGGAAUUUAUUUUUUUAACCCCAGGAAGCCAGUUAUUAACAUGCACCACCAAAGGAGAGGAUAGAGGUAGCUGACAGGGAAGUCUAAGAAGAUACUAAAGGUUAUUACCUUCACUUACUUCAUGUUUUGACCUGGGCUUGGACUCAGCCAGUUGUGACAUCUGUCAUUCAUGGAACAAUCGCCUGAGCUUCAGGUCCCAAGAGAUAGUGGACAGAAGAGCAUGAGUUGAGUUUGGAUUUAGAUCUACAGCUCCACAUAUUUGUUUCUCCUGAGACCCAUAUAUUUUGGAGUUCUGAUGACAAGGCAGUUUUUCUUUAGUCUAUUGAUUUAGGAACCCUGACCUAGGAGUGCAUAUGCUGUAACUGAAGUAGUCUGGUGCUUUAACAUUUUCAGCUUCAAACAUGUGCUACCUGACUAGAUGGAAUUCCUUGAGAACUGUAUUAACAUGUUUCAAAGAGUUGAAUUAACAGAUGGAGUUUCGCUCUUGUUGCCCAGGCUGGAGUGCAAUGCUGCGAUCUCGACUCACCGUAACCUCCGCUUCUGGGGUUCAAGUGAUUCUCCUGCCUCAGCCUCCCAAGUAGCUAGAAUUACAGGUAUGAGCCACCACACGCCCGGCCAGUAUUGUGAGUUUUAAAGAAUGCAUUUUAAUAUGUUUCACUUUUUAAAGCUCCUAAGUGGUUUUGUUGCUAAUUUUUUUAAAUUUUGUUUUGUGAAGAGAUUGGUAACAUAAAUUGUAAAGCAGAAAUUAAUUCACCUAGCUUUCCUCAUCACAGUUUAAGACGGAUAUUUGUGUUCUGGUUUGCUUAUUUGUUUUUCCGGGUCCACACAUUCACUCAUAUGUGUUUAGAUUUUUCAUGUGGAAGGCAGUGAUAUAAUUUCAGGCCUAUAUGUUUUGACCCUCUGUUCACACAUGGUUGUUAUAUGCCCUGACAUUGUGUUUACUUCACAUUUCCUAUUUUUCCACUGUAUAUCUGAGGAUAUUUCAUGCUAUUUUGUUACCUAAAGAGAGGCUACUGCUACAUGGGGAGACAUAUAUACAUAUAUGUAGGAGUACACCUAUGUGUGCAUGUGUGUGUAUUUAUAAAUCUCUCUCCAUGUAGCAGUACACAUAUAUAUAUGUAUAUAUAAUUUGUUUUUAUGAGAAGGAUGUGAAAAGAUACACAAGUCUGUUUAUAAUACAGAUCUGAAGGAGAGAUAGGCAAAUAUUGAUUUAAAAAAAAUUUCCCCUGAUUUGUUUCACUUUGUACAACAAACAGGUAUUACUUUCUUAAUUAAAAACAUCAAUAAAAAAUGUUUCAAUACUGAUUAAAAACAGUUAAAGAGGAAAUUUAACAGUGGCAAAUAAUAUCUGUAUUUUAUAAGGGUUUUGCCAGUCUUGACAAAGUAUCUAGAAAUUCGCUAAAAGACAGUUUCUUUUGUUUUUCAGAGCACACAUUAAAAAAAAAAAAAAAUCGCAAUGAUUAGUGCUCCCUCUGCUGGUUUCCCUGCAACAGUUUGUUGCGGUGAUUUGGGAGGAUGAAAAGACAGCAAGGAAAAUUCUGUUACUUUUGGUCUUUAAACAUUAUUUCUAUAUACAAGUGUUAUCCUUGAUUGGUAGCAAAUGCCAAUGUAGUUUCUGAAAAUUUAUUCUUUCUUAAAAUUCAAUAGUGAUUCUGAAGUUGGGCUAGAUAAUUAUAAUCCUUUUAAAAUUAAUUCCUCCUUUCUUAUAUCAUGAAGCAGGACAUAAAGCAUAACAAUUCUUAUUUAUUGGGAUUUUUCUUGGGUAGGAGUUAACCUUAUAUAGCUAACUCUCAGUAACUUGACCUAGCAGUAGUAAAGUUGGCUAUUUGAACAUCAAGCUGACACUCUAGUAAGCAAAAUAGAGGUUUGGAGUGACAUUAUCACUGGAGAAUUACAUUCUGUAAUUGAACACUUUGCUGUAUCAUUAUUUUAGUCUACAUCAUCCUAUGUGAAAGAUAUUUGGAAAUUGCAUAGUUGAUUUAAUUUAUCUUGAUAUCCAUACUAUAAUUAAAGAUUCUUAGAAUUCAUUGGAUUCAUCAAUUUGCUCUCUGUGAAUUUGUACUUUCAUGAAUCAGAGUAUGUUGAUCCAUAUACAGUGUUCAUUUAACUAAUACUUGUAUUAAAUCACUUCUAAAUGCUUAUUAUACCCUGUAUUAUAGUAUUAUAUUCUGAGUCUUAAAGGUGCUUAAUGUGAAGAUUCUCUCUCUACAUAUUCAACUCUUACUAACUUUUGGCUUUAGGUAGAAAUCAGUUAGUGUAUUAUAUGAUAAAAUAGGAAACUAUUUCCCUAGGGGUAUAGGUAUUCAGUAGGGAGCUUUGGAGUCUCAAUGAGCUUCUUAAAGAAGCAUUUUUAAUGGUAGGUUUUAGGGAGAGUUUUUGUAGUAAGAUAAAGUAGAUGAGAAAGUGUUGCCUCUAAACAAUCAACAAGCUGGGAAUGGGGUGCAGAAUGAGGAGAACCCUAAGCAAUAGGCAAUAAGGAGUGAAAGGAAGGAGGUGUCACUCAUUGGGAAAGAAAAGGAACUGUAUGUCCUCUACUGAGAGCUGCUGUCUUCUUAAAAGUCAUUUUUGUGAGGUGUGCUUGCGGAAUGGUAAAACAGAAAGGAAAUAACAGAGUAGAAGGUCAGAUCUCCCAAAUCAACCUUACUCAUCACUGGUGUGCAAGAUACCAUCAUCAGAUCAUUUUAACACUCUGGAAAAUACCACGGAGAGGUUUAGCAAGUGACAAUUAACAUCAGGGAGAAGCAGUUUCUAAUAAGGAGAUCCAGCCAUUGCUGCUGGAGUUUAGAUGUGGAAUUUCUAGGCUCUGGAAAGUGUAGAGGCAGAAAUGAGGUGAUUACUUUCCUCUCCAUCAUAAGCAUUAUGGCUAACACCCCUAUAACAAAGGCAGGUUAUCAAGAAAAAAGAAUAAUACAUUUAUUUAAGCACAGUUUGAUAUGAUAUGGGAGGCUUCAGAAUGAAGACCCAAAGAUGCAGGGAAAAUUGUUGCGUUUUAUGCUGAUGUUCAAUGAAGUAUGGAUAGCCAUAUAAAAUAUGAUUGGACAAAAAGGAUAAAAUCUAAUGCUUUGAUGCUAAUAGACAGAGUCAGGAAACUCGGCAAAGCCUGUCCAGAUUUUUCUUGGUCUUUCUGUACAGCAUUAUUUUGUUGACAAAAAAAGCCAAACUCUGUAAGAUAUUUGAAGAGGUUUAUUCUGAGCCAAAUAUGAGUGGCAGGGCCUUUGACACAGCCUCAGGAGGCCCUAAGAACAUGCACCUAAGAGGAUUGUGUUACAGCUUGGUUUAAUACAUUUUAGGGAGACAGAAGUUAUAGGCAUGUAAGGUAUACAUUGGUUUGGCCCAGAAAGGUGGGACAUCUCAAAGUGAGGGGGGAAGGUGGGGAAGGGGAGCUUCUUCGUCAUAGAUGGAUUCAAAGAUUUUCUGAUUGACAAUUGG